rnacentral:rRNA from 1 species
UUUUUAUAAACCUGAAUUAAAGAAAAGUUAUUGAUUUGAAAUUUUUAAUUAUUAGUAUAAAUUACCUUAGGGAUAACAGCGUAAUAUUUUUUUAUAGAUCUUAUAGAAAAAAAUGAUUGCGACCUCGAUGUUGAAUUAAGAUAAAUUUUAAAUGUAGAAGUUUAAUAAUUAAGUCUGUUCGACUUUUAAAAUCUUACAUG